GGGGCUGGGAGUUCAUCAGGGAAAGAACGUCGCCGAAAUGCGCGCGGCUGUGCUAACGCGGCGAAGGUGCGGGUUCGACACCCGCCCGCCCCA
rnacentral:tRNA from 1 species